rnacentral:rRNA from 1 species
CAGUCGCCACGGGAAUACGGAGGGGGCUAGCGUUGUUCGGAAUUACUGGGCGUAAAGCGCACGUAGGCGGCUUGGUAAGUUAGAGGUGAAAGCCUGGAGCUCAACUCCAGAAUUGCCUUUAAGACUGCCGAGCUAGCAGGUGAGAGAGGUAAGUGGAAUUCCGAGUGUAGAGGUGAAAUUCGUAGAUAUUCGGAAGAACACCAGUGGCGAAGGCGGCUUACUGGCUCAUACUGGACGCUGAGGUGCGAAAGCGGGGGGAGCAAACAGGAUUAGAUACCCGCGUAGUCCCUGUCUCUUAUAC